UACGUAGGGUCCGAGCGUUGUCCGGAAUUAUUGGGCGUAAAGAGCUCGUAGGCGGUCUGUCGCGUCGGAUGUGAAAACCCAGGGCUCAACCCUGGGCCUGCAUUCGAUACGGGCAGACUAGAGUUCGGUAGGGGAGACUGGAAUUCCUGGUGUAGCGGUGGAAUGCGCAGAUAUCAGGAGGAACACCGGUGGCGAAGGCGGGUCUCUGGGCAGUAACUGACGCUGAGGAGCGAAAGCGUGGGGAGCGAACAGG
rnacentral:rRNA from 1 species